rnacentral:misc_RNA from 1 species
GAAAUGCGAUAAGUAAUGUGAAUUGCAGAACUCAGCGAAUCAUCGAAUCUUUGAACGCACAUUGCGCCCGCCGGCAUUCCGGCGGGCAUGCCUGUUCGAGCGUCAUUUCAACCCUCGAGCCCUGCUCGGUGUUGGGGCCCCGCGGCCGCCGCGGGCCCUGAAAAGAAGUGGCGGGCGCGCCUGGACCCGUAGCGCAGUAAUACACCUCGCUCGCGGCGUCCCGGCGCGUGCCGGCCGUAAAACCCCUUUAUCUCAAGGUUGACCUCGGAUCAGGUAGGAAUACCCGCUGAACUUAA